rnacentral:misc_RNA from 1 species
ACAAACUUGGUCAUUUAGAGGAAGUAAAAGUCGUAACAAGGUUUCCGUAGGUAAGUUGAAGCUUUCCAUCUAUCUUUCUAUGCUUGAAUAAUGUGCUGACUUUUAAACCCUUGUAGGUGAACCUGCGGAAGGAUCAUUACAGAGUGUUUUACCCCCCCAUAAAAAGGGGGGUGUAACCUCCCGUCCUUUGCUAGGUCCCCCUUUCCGGGAGGACUUUUCAAAACUUUCUGCUUCGGCGGGGUUACCCGCCGGAACAUCCUCAAAAUUCUUUGGUUUUUGACCAAAACUGUCUGUCCGAGAAGCUUUUAAGAAAAUUAUUGAAAACUUUCAACAACGGAUCUCUUGGUUCUGGCAUCGAUGAAGAACGCAGC